rnacentral:rRNA from 1 species
UACGAAGGGUGCAAACGUUGCUCGGAAUUAUUGGGCGUAAAGCGCACGUAGGCGGUAUUGAAAGUUGGAUGUGAAAUCCCUCGGCUUAACCAAGGAAGUGCAUCCAAAACUCCAGUACUUGAGUACUUAAGAGGAUCGCGGAAUUCCCGGUGUAGAGGUGAAAUUCGUAGAUAUCGGGAGGAACACCGGUGGCGAAGGCGGCGACCUGGGUAGAUACUGACGCUGAGGUGCGAAAGCGUGGGGAGCAAACAGG